CCUACGGGUGGCAGCAGUGAGGAAUAUUGGUCAAUGGGCGAGAGCCUGAACCAGCCAAGCCGCGUGAGGGAGUACUGCCCUAUGGGUUGUAAACCUCUUUUGUCGGGGAGCAAAAGCCGGACGUGUCCGGCUGUGAGAGUACCAGAAGAAAAAGCACCGGCAAACUACGGGCCAGACGCCGGGGGUAUACGGAGGAUGCGAGGGUUAUACGGGUGUAUGGGGGUUAAAGGGUGCGCAGGGGGAUUUUUAAGUCAGCGGUCAAAGCGUGGGGCUCAACCCCAUCCAGCCGUUGAAACUGGGGAUCUGGAGUGUGCGAGAGGUAUGCGGAAUGCGUGGUGUAGCGGUGAAAUGCAUAGAUAUCACGCAGAACCCCGAUUGCGAAGGCAGCAUACCGGUGCACAACUGACGCUGAGGCACGAAAGCGUGGGUAUCGAACAGGAUUAGAUACCCGGGUAGUC
rnacentral:rRNA from 1 species